CAUCUGUUGCGCACCUGUUUUUGCUCAGUCUUGUCAUACAAUAUUGACAAUGGAAUACACUUUUAAUAUUUUAUAAACCAUAUAGUUAUCAUCAAAGACAUAUCUUAGCGGGAGUCCAGGACAUUUUGUUCACUGGGAUUUCUCUCUGCACGGUUACGGUAUCAUGUGAAGGGAUGAAAUUGGGCAACCAUCCAAACGUCUACUAAUUUAGCGCGCUACGGAGGACUCGACCAAUCAACGACUCGCGCGCAUUCAAUGGUACCAACACCCUGCAGUGCAGGAGAACAGGACUAGUAGCUACAGUAAAAAUAUAAAAUAAAGCAGACUUUUCAGCUCCUCAUCUUCGGUUGAUGGUCAACAUUUCAAAACUAAGAUUCAAGAGCUAGUCAAGAACAAGGCAUUAGGAUGGACUGGUUCCACUGUAACAGCUGCUUCCGAAGAGAGGGACAGAACUUUGCUGUCUCCAGCUGUGGUCACAUCUGCUGUGAAGGCUGCAUCAACCCUAAUAAAAAACAUUGCACUGUGUGUGGAGCCAGCUGCAAUUACCUGGCCAUCUCAGACCAGAUGAAGCCUCAGGAGCAGGUGUUCUUCAAAGACCCUGUUAAGCUCAUUCAGUCUCGUCUGGAGCACAUAGCCCAGAUUGCUCUAUUCCAGCGAAGGCAGAAGGAAAGGGUCAUUGUCUACUUCAAAAACAAAUCUAUGGAGCUGGAGAGGAGACUGAAGGAUGUCACAGAUCAGUGUUACAGGCAAGUUUUAGAGCUGAAAAGAGAGAAUGCCGAGUUGAAGAAACCUCUCUCUCAGAGGAGGGCAUCACCUGGACAAUUUCAAACAAAUGGCAGUGCCCAAAGGAUGUCUCUCCCAGUGGCUGUUACCUCCCCAGUCACCCCUCGCUCACGUCCUGUUAGCCACCAAGGCUUUGCUGAAACCCAGGAGAGAUUCAGAGAUAGAAACCCUAGGCUCACCCUCGCAACUCCGCCUGGUUCUGCCACAUCAAUCUCCAGCCUUGGCUCUCUGCACGAGCGUGGUGGCUUUAGGACUCCCACCAUUAUUAGCACUCCCACCCGACCACGUGUAACCACGCCAGCCAAGGACCUCUACAUCCGGAUUCUUCACCUGCUGGAUCGUCUGAAACCAGCCACCCGAACAGCUGAUGAAACUGGUUUUGCACAACAGAAGAACUUCUACACAAACUGUCAGAAACCGUCUUGGGAAGCUCAUCUGGGUGCUCGUCAUCCUCACCAGCGUGUCGACCUGACUGCAGUUUGGCGUCGAAAUUGACUUCAGUGGACACAACUCACUUUCGAUCGCUACUGGCACGCUGGAAAAAUGUGCUCUUUGCAGAUGAAUCCCGGGUAACUGUACCGCAACAAGAUCCUGAGGCCCAUUGUUCUCUGAUCCAUGCACCUACCUUUUUUAUUUAUUUUUUAAGUAUCUGUGACCAACAGAUGCAUAUCAGUAUUCCGAGGUAUGUGAAAUCCAUAUAUUAAGGCCUAAUGAAUUUAUUUAAAAUUGACUGAUUUCCUUACAUGAACUGUAACUCAGUAAAAUCUUUGAAAUUGUUGCAUGUUGGAAUAUUUUUGUUCAUUAUAAUAGGCGAAUGGAGGAUUGUCCUCACCUCAGAUCUAAGAAGCACAACUGCCCUACCUGAAUCCUUUGCAGAAGAGUUGUGUGGGAGACAUCUCUCAAACAGAGUUGAAUCUAGAUCUGUCGUCAAAGUAGUUUAGUGUAAAGCUAAAUGAGCAAACCUCUCUCCCCAAUUCUCAGGUCUGAGAAUCUGACUCCAAACAUUUUCCAGUUCUUGACUGGGUCAUCACUGCACUCCCCAAGGCCUUUCAGAAAUGGCCAGUAAACUGAAUCUGAUGAACAGCUGACCCCGAUCUCAGAAAGUGCAGGGAAGCAGUUAACACACACAAUGUUUUUUUUAAUAUUUUUUUUUUUACUUGUUUCGAGUGAUGCAGUUGUGCAAAUGUUAAAUUGAACAUAAUACAACAUUAAAAAGACAUGCUCCGGUACUUUGGCAAACAAAGUAUAUAUAUAUAUAUAUAUAUAUAUUUUUAAACCUCCCGCUUUGGGAUGUGUCAAAGUGUAGUUCAUAUAUGCAUAAUCUGAGCAGAAUUAGUGUCUUCAAUUCAAUUAGCCACAAAAUCCCUAGUUUGAAAAUACUUUUCUUGAAACUGUGCAGCACCAUUUCCCCUACAUGUCUCCCCAUGUGGGCCAGCCCCUUAACAAUUUGAGUUCUAGCCCUUGCAUUGAGUGGAAGCUAGCAAGAGGCCUGCCCAGCAUUAUCCAAUGAGGUUGCAGGACGGGCCCAACAACUCAGGGGAAACAGUAGAGAGCAAUGAGGUGGUGCACAUAUGUGACGUAGUACGCAAUUUUCAGGGACCACUUUUGGCUUUGGAGUGUUACUUUCACAACUACUAGAUACAAAAGUACGGGAGAAUCUGACUUUUGAAAUGAGUGCCAUGUGUCCAGUUAAGUAGAACAUUGAAAAACUGUUUACAACUACAAUUAAAGGGAUUGGCAACUGAGAAUAGUGUUCAGACAAACAUUUCUCCUUCAGCAUUCUUGUACUUCCUUUGUAAUAUUCUCAUAGCUAAUAGAAAAAACAUUUACACUGUAGAAAAUGUUGCUUAAUGUUGAUUAAAAUACUUUUACUGGUA